UACAGAGACUGCAAGCGUUAUUCGGAUUCACUGGGCGUAAAGGGUGCGCAGGCGGCCGAGUGUGUGAGGCGUGAAAGCCCGGGGCUUAACCCCGGAAUUGCACCUCAAACUACACGGCUAGAGCAUUGGAGAGGGUAGCAGAAUUCAUGGUGUAGCAGUGAAAUGCGUAGAUAUCAUGAGGAAUACCAGAGGCGAAGGCGGCUACCUGGACAAUUGCUGACGCUGAGGCGCGAAAGCUAGGGGAGCGAACGGG
rnacentral:rRNA from 1 species